CAUAUAUACAUAUAAAGAUAUUUAUAUAAAUUUAAAUAGAGGUUAAAUUAGCCUCAUUAAGGGAUAGUAAUAUCCAAUGAAAUACUGGUUCGUUACU